rnacentral:rRNA from 1 species
UGCUGGAGGUAUCAGAAGUGCGAAUGCUGACAUAAGUAACGAUAAAGCGGGUGAAAAGCCCGCUCGCCGGAAGACCAAGGGUUCCUGUCCAACGUUAAUCGGGGCAGGGUGAGUCGACCCCUAAGGCGAGGCCGAAAGGCGUAGUCGAUGGGAAACGGGUUAAUAUUCCCGUACUUGGUGUUACUGCGAAGGGGGGACGGAGAAGGCUAUGUUGGCCGGGCGACGGUUGUCCCGGUUUAAGCGUGUAGGUGUGUGUUCCAGGUAAAUCCGGUUCACUUUAACACUGAGGCGUGACGACGAGGCACUACGGUGCUGAAGCAACAAAUGCCCUGCUUCCAGGAAAAGCCUCUAAGCAUCAGGUAACACGAAAUCGUACCCCAAACCGACACAGGUGGUCAGGUAGAGAAUACCAAGGCGCUUGAGAGAACUCGGGUGAAGGAACUAGGCAAAAUGGUGCCGUAACUUCGGGAGAAGGCACGCUGACACGUAGGUGAAGUGAUUUACUCAUGGAGCUGAAGUCAGUCGAAGAUACCAGCUGGCUGCAACUGUUUAUUAAAAACACAGCACUGUGCAAACACGAAAGUGGACGUAUACGGUGUGACGCCUGCCCGGUGCCGGAAGGUUAAUUGAUGGGGUCAGCGCAAGCGAAGCUCCUGAUCGAAGCCCCGGUAAACGGCGGCCGUAACUAUAACGGUCCUAAGGUAGCGAAAUUCCUUGUCGGGUAAGUUCCGACCUGCACGAAUGGCGUAAUGAUGGCCAGGCUGUCUCCACCCGAGACUCAGUGAAAUUGAACUCGCUGUGAAGAUGCAGUGUACCCGCGGCAAGACGGAAAGACCCCGUGAACCUUUACUAUAGCUUGACACUGAACAUUGAGCCUUGAUGUGUAGGAUAGGUGGGAGGCUUUGAAGUGUGGACGCCAGUCUGCAUGGAGCCGACCUUGAAAUACCACCCUUUAAUGUUUGAUGUUCUAACGUGGACCCGUAAUCCGGGUUGCGGACAGUGUCUGGUGGGUAGUUUGACUGGGGCGGUCUCCUCCUAAAGAGUAACGGAGGAGCACGAAGGUUGGCUAAUCCUGGUCGGACAUCAGGAGGUUAGUGCAAUGGCAUAAGCCAGCUUGACUGCGAGCGUGACGGCGCGAGCAGGUGCGAAAGCAGGUCAUAGUGAUCCGGUGGUUCUGAAUGGAAGGGCCAUCGCUCAACGGAUAAAAGGUACUCCGGGGAUAACAGGCUGAUACCGCCCAAGAGUUCAUAUCGACGGCGGUGUUUGGCACCUCGAUGUCGGCUCAUCACAUCCUGGGGCUGAAGUAGGUCCCAAGGGUAUGGCUGUUCGCCAUUUAAAGUGGUACGCGAGCUGGGUUUAGAACGUCGUGAGACAGUUCGGUCCCUAUCUGCCGUGGGCGCUGGAGAACUGAGGGGGGCUGCUCCUAGUACGAGAGGACCGGAGUGGACGCAUCACUGGUGUUCGGGUUGUCAUGCCAAUGGCACUGCCCGGUAGCUAAAUGCGGAAGAGAUAAGUGCUGAAAGCAUCUAAGCACGAAACUUGCCCCGAGAUGAGUUCUCCCUGAGACUUAGAGUCUCCUGAAGGAACGUUGAAGACGACGACGUUGAUAGGCCGGGUGUGUAAGCGCAGCGAUGCGUUGAGCUAACCGGUACUAAUGAACCGUGAGGCUUAACCUUAC